GAUGAACGCUGGCGGCGUGCCUAACACAUGCCAGUCGAGCGGCAGCGAGGGGUGCUUGCACCCUGUCGGCGAGCGGCGGACGGCUGAGUAACGCGUGGGAACGUGCCCCAAAGUGAGGAAUAACUGCCCGAAAGGGUAGCUAAUACCGCAUAUUAUCUUCGGAUCAAAGGAUUUAUCCGCUUUGGGAGCGGCUCGCGUCGGAUUAGGUAGUUGGUGAGGUAAUGGCUCACCAAGCCGACGAUCCGUAGCUGGUCUGAGAGGAUGACCAGCCAGACUGGAACUGAGACACGGUCCAGACUCCUACGGGAGGCAGCAGUGAGGAAUCUGCCACAAUGGGCGAAAGCCUGAUGGAGCAACGCCGCGUGCAGGACGAAGGCCUUCGGGUUGUAAACUGCUUUUAUAAGUGAGGAAUAUGACGGUAACUUAUGAAUAAGGAUCGGCUAACUACGUG
rnacentral:rRNA from 1 species